rnacentral:rRNA from 1 species
CCCUGGCCUUGACAUACUAAGAACUUUCCAGAGAUGGAUUGGUGCCUUCGGGAACUUAGAUACAGGUGCUGCAUGGCUGUCGUCAGCUCGUGUCGUGAGAUGUUGGGUUAAGUCCGCAACGAGCGCAACCCUUUUCCUUAUUUGCCAGCGGGUAAUGCCGGGAACUUUAAGGAUACUGCCAGUGACAAACUGGAGGAAGGCGGGGACGACGUCAAGUCAUCAUGGCCCUUACGGCCAGGGCUACACACGUGCUACAAUGGUCGGUACAAAGGGUUGCUACCUCGCGAGAGGAUGCUAAUCUCAAAAAAGCCGAUCGUAGUCCGGAUCGCAGUCUGCAACUCGACUGCGUGAAGUCGGAAUCGCUAGUAAUCGCGGAUCAGAAUGCCGCGGUGAAUACGUUCCCGGGCCUUGUACACACCGCCCGUCACACCAUGGGAGUUUGUUGCACCAGAAGUAGGUAGUCUAACCGCAAGGAGGACGCUUACCACGGUGUGGCCGAUGACUGGGGUGAAGUCGUAACAAGGUAAGCGUAGAUGA